GGUCCGAGACCUCUGCAGAUAAUCCCGCGGCAGGUGGACACAGGCUGUCCCUGGGGAAACCGCAGAUGAAGAGGAUUUCCGAAAAAGGGUCCAGGGGGAUUUUCUGUAUACAAGAUUAUGUCAUCUGGAAGAUAGUCAGAAACAACUUGUAAAUAGUCUGGAACGACUGUCUGGGGGACAUGCAUGAUUGGACACACAUCAUACACCAGUCUGGAAUGGGGUGAAAGGACCAAGACCACAGCAUAGAACUUUUUCAGAUGUUCCCUCCAAACAAUGACCAUAUUACAGCUCUAUAAUAUUCCUUCUUGUAAUGGUAACUGAAGUGAUAAAGACAUCUCCUCUUACACCCUGAAGAAAAGGCUGGAUUGCAAACUGGAAGAGCAGCUCCUGGUGAUGGUGCAGGAUAUUGGGAUGUGACUCCUUUUGUCUCAAUUUUGCCUGAAGCCCCUAAAGACUGAGAAAUAACUGGUACCAAAUACUGUCAAAUCCAAAGACCACCUAGACAAGGCAGUAAGAGCUGAAACCUGGUAUUAUAAAGCUUAACCCUUCAGCCAACUGGAAGCUGUAAGUGAACUGAGCAUGAGAGGAAAAGAAAGGGGCGAUUUCUUUGGAGCAAGUUGUGGUGUUGACCAGAAUAAAAGGGAAGUUGAAGAAGGACUGUAGGAAGAUGGCAGAGUAGGAGGCUCAAGAAUUCAGACCUUCCACCACAACAACUAUUAAACAGACAGGAGCUGUUUGAAAAAACUAUUUUGAAACUCCAGAGACCCGGAGAACACAGUACAGAGUCCGGGGAAGAGCGGGAGGAAGAGGC